rnacentral:rRNA from 1 species
AUGAAUUCAACUAAGUUUCACAUGGUUGAAGUUGAAAGAACCAAGCAGUAUGAGGUGUUCAAGUCACCAACUCAAGCACUAUUUGAGUAUAACCCCAGAACUUUCAUAGUCAUGGUGGACAGAGACUCUGAAACUUUCACAUGCAUAUGUGGAAAAUUUAAAAAGGACGGCAUACUAUGCUGUCAUGCACUCAAAGUGAUGCAAGCAUUGAACAUUGAUGAGGUAGCAAAAAAAUAUUUCAUAGAUAGAUGGAGACCUAAAGAAAAGAAAUCAGAACAAAUAAGUGAAGAAGUCACAAACCUCCAUGAUCAGAUGGCUUUCUUCUCAUUCUCAAGAAGGCUCACUGAGUUAGCUUCUCAAGCGUCAAAAAAUCCUGCAAGGAGGAAAGUUCUGAGUGAGCAGAUAACCAAUUUAGAGAAAUUAAUUUUGGCCAUACCUUGCAUGCCAGAAGGUGAGGAACCAAAGAGUUUUUCGUCAGAAGUAGCAUCUGUCACUGCAGGAGUUUUGAGCUUGGGUAGCAAUUCUGAAUACACACUAAAGGAUCCAGUACACACAAAACCAAAAGGAAGAAUGAAGAAAACAGGAAGGCAAAAGAGCAUAGUUGAGGAAAUUCUAGCCAAACCAAAAAUGGCUUGCUCUGGAUGUGGCAAACAAGGUCACAGGAUAACUGGAUGUAAGCAAAUAGAAGAGGAUGCAACACAGAAAAUUAGAAGAGAGCUAGUAAGGAAAGCAUUGCAUUAA